AUUUAUAUAGUUUAAAACAAAACACUUCAUUUUCAAUGAAGAAAUGAAUUAUUUAUUCUAUAAAUA
rnacentral:tRNA from 1 species